CGCUAGGUGGUGAAGUUGGUGUAAUUCCAACACUGUCCCGCAACGGUAAAGUCCGAUCCCAAGCUAGCG
rnacentral:ncRNA from 2 species